GAUGAACGCUGGCGGCGUGCCUAAUACAUGCAGGUCGAGCGAACAGACGAGGCGCUUGCUCCUCUGACGUUAGCGGCGGACGGGUGAGUAACACGUGGAUAACCUACCUAUAAGACUGGGAUAACUUCGGGAAACCGGCGCUAAUACCGGAUAAUAUAUUGAACCGCAUGGUUCAAUAGUGAAAGACGGUUUUGCUGUCACUUUUAGAUGGUUCCGCGCCGCAUUAGCUAGUUGGUAAGGUAACGGCUUACCAAGGCAACGAUGCGUAGCCGACCUGAGAGAGUGAUCGGCCACACUGGAGCUGAGACACGCUCCAGACUACGAAGGGAGGCAGCAGAAGGGAAUCGGACGCAAUGGUCGAAAGCCUGACAGAGCAACGCCGAGUGAGUGAUGAAGGUCUUCGGAUCGUAAAACUCUGUUAUUAGGGGAGAACAAAUGUGUAAGUAACUAUGCACGGCUUGACGGUACCUAAUCAGAAAGCCACGGCUAACUACGUG
rnacentral:rRNA from 1 species